UUUUUCCUCCUAAUGUUAUUUCUCAACAGAGAAUACAAAUUUCCUGUUCUUAACAGUAAGAUUUAUUGCUGUAUAUUAACAAGAAAAAAAUGCCAUUUUACUAGAAGUUCAAUUUAGAUAAUUCUGAAGAAAACCCAGUUUCGGGAGCAGCAACAAGUGUAACGUUCAAUGAAGUAAUACAAAUGUAAAAACUAUGUGGGUGUCAAAAUAGAUGUCCCGUGUAGAAACCAAACUUGAUUCUGUAUCUUCAGUGGGGUUUUGUCUUUGAGACGUCAGGCUGGCUGGUUGCAUUCUGCCAGGCUCACAAAAUGUAGUGACGAUGUGGUAAGAGAGUUAUAUUUUAAAUGUGUCAAGCAGACAGGUCUCUCAGAGAGCAGUGUCCUCUCUCUCCCAUCAAAGAGUAAUUCUGAUAUGUGCCUGCAUUGGGUUCUGCCAGCCCAUAGUAUGUAUUAAUCACUGCAAAUUACUUCAAGGCAGUCUCUAUGUGGAUAUAUCAGGGGAAUUGAUGUGGAGCUUUUAACCUUUGAAUCACUUGUUCAUUUGUGAUGGCAGGUGAUGUUAAUUCUGAGUUAAUUACAUACCCAUGGCUUGUGGGUGCAACCUGUUGGUGGAUCUCAAACCACUUCCCAGAGAGCAACCAAGAACAAUAUAAAAGCACCAAAGCUAACAGAGCUGGCCUGAGAUUAAAUUCAUCUCUGAGAGCAGACUUAGAGCAGAUUUAUAAGUGAGUAUGGGGAAUGUACUUAUGCUGUUCCUUUUCAAAAGAUAAAUGGAUGAUGUUAAAUGUCAUCACAGGCUUCUCUCAUUGGGCUAAAUUCACUCGAGAGUGCUUUUCUCUUCAGAGUGAUAUAAUGUGGAAUAGAAAAUGCUCAGACACAAAGCGAGCUAUCAAAAGCACCAAAACUGAAGGCAGAUCUACCUGGGGUGAUGUCCUGCUGGUUCGUGCUGUGCGGUGAUGCUGGAGGAAGGACAAUGGUGGAAGGACAACUUCCCGGCUGAUGAGGCCACCAAGCAGCAGCUGCUGGCAAACUGAUAUAUGAAGCCGAGCUGGGGCUGCAUUUUCCAGGAACAAACAGUCCUGUGGAACACGUACCCGCCGUUUGGAGCCGGGAGAAAUGUCAAAUGCAAGUAGACCUUGUAAAAUCUCUCCAGUUUCUCAGUGUGAAUAUCAAUGAUGGUGGCUUGUGUUUUCAUUAUAAAUCCAUUCAGCUGUUAAAUUACUGGAAAGAAAUGCACCUCUUGAGCAAAGAUUCCUGGAUGAGUCCUGUGCAUUUAUAAAUGUAAAGAAUGUCAUUAUGAUUGGUUUCUGACCCUAAAAAAAAAGCGCCACUUCGCAAUUUCCCCGUGGUUUUCAUUUAAAAACGCACAUACCACUUUUUGGACAUAAUAAAUAAAUAACACUGUUGUUAAAAGACUACACAUUAACUCUGAACCUCUGCUUGUCUUUAAUGUAAAACUCUACAUAACUUUUUGUGGGUCUUUUUCCCCUCCCCUCCUUGCAUUCUUCUCCAGUGGGUGAAUCAGAGCGUCCCUUCACAUUGUGGGUUAAAUGAGGUCCACCAUGGCUUGCUCCUGGUCUGCUCCUGCUUACCCAGACUGCACUUUUCAAUCUGCAGAUGCACAACUCCAAUAAAACCCUCUGAUCUCCACCUGCAGAGGCACAUCCUAAACCCACAGGUGCUCUAGUAGCUUGUGUUUGAGCUCUCUAGCCAGGAUAUGAUUAAAACAAUCCUGACUCUCCUCUCUCCCAUCAGCCUUUUGAAAAUCAGUUUUAAAUGUUGCUUUUUGAAACUCUCUGGAGGGAUGCAAAAAAAUAAAAGCUUAAUCAGCAUGAAUAAAGUAACCUUUUUCCAAAGGGAAGCAGCUUGGAAAAAUGUGUUUUUCAGAGUAGCAAAGGGAUGAUUCCCAGCAGCUUCAACCUGGAGUGACUCCUGGUGAGCUCCCUGGCUUGAGAAUCACAGGAGGCCAAAGUGAUGAGCACAACAGCU